rnacentral:pre_miRNA from 1 species
GGGGGGCGGUGGAUCCUGGGCUAUGUCCCCCGGUGCCCUGGGCUCCGGGACUUGCGCUGCUGGAAUCGUGUUCCCGGGCCCCCC